ACUCUCACCUGGAAGGGGAGACACCACGAUCUCGAAGGUGGUUCUCCCCGGAUGGACCUUGGUCAUUGCAUCCUCUCGGAGCUGACCCCUCUGUUCCCCUCAUGGGGGAAACCACGGAGCAAUUUCUGCUGGGGGUGGGGGAGAGGUGCGGAUGGCUAGAGGUCCGUUU